rnacentral:rRNA from 1 species
UACGGAGGAUGCGAGCGUUAUCCGGAUUUAUUGGGUUUAAAGGGUGCGUAGGCGGGCUGUUAAGUCAGCGGUAAAAUUUGGAGGCUCAACCUCCACGAGCCGUUGAAACUGGCUGUCUUGAGAUGUCGAGAGGUAUGCGGAAUGCGCAGUGUAGCGGUGAAAUGCUUAGAUAUUGCGCAGAACUCCGAUUGCGAAGGCAGCAUGCCGGCUUCCGACUGACGCUGAAGCACGAAAGCGUGGGGAUCGAACAGG